UACGGGGGGGGCAAGCGUUGUUCGGAAUUACUGGGCGUAAAGGGCUCGUAGGCGGCCAACUAAGUCGGAUGUGAAAUCCCCAGGCUUAACUUGGGAACUGCAUCCGAUACUGGAUGGCUUGAAUUCGGGAGAGGGAUGCAGAAUUCCAGGUGUAGCGGUGAAAUGCGUAGAUAUCUGGAGGAAUACCGGUGGCGAAGGCGGCAUCCUGGACCGACAUUGACGCUGAGGAGCGAAAGCUAGGGGAGCAAACGGG
rnacentral:rRNA from 1 species